GACGAACGCUGGCGGCGUGCUUAACACAUGCAAGUCGAACGGAAAGUCCCUGCUUUUGUGGGGUGCUCGAGUUGCGAACGGGUGAGUAACACGUGAGUACCCUGUCCCUGACUUUGGGAGAACUUCAGGAAACUUGGGCUAAUACCGGAUAGGAGCUCCUGCUGCAUGGUGGGGGUUGGAAAGUUUCGGCGGUUGGGGAUGGAAUCGCGGCCUAUCAGCUUGUUGGUGGGGUAGUGGCUUACCAAGGCUUUGACGGGUAGCAGGCCUGAUAGGGUGACCGGCUACAUUGCGCUUGAGCUAAGGCACAGACUCGUACGGGAGGCAGCGGUGGGGAAUAUUACACAAUGGGCGGAAGCAUAACGUAGUAACGCCGUGUGGGGGAUGACGGCAUUCGGGUAGGAUACCGAUUUCGCCUGUGACGAAGCGUGAGUGACGGUAAUGGGUAAAGAAGCUCCGGCUAACUACGUG
rnacentral:rRNA from 1 species